ensembl:snRNA U5 U5 spliceosomal RNA
AUACUCUGGUUUCUCUUCAGAGCGUAUAAAUCUUUCACCUUUUACUAAAGAUUUCCGUGGAGAGGAGUCGUUACUCAAUUUUUGAGGCCUUGCAUUCUGCAAGGCU